rnacentral:rRNA from 1 species
GUGGGGAAUCUUCCGCAAUGGACGAAAGUCUGACGGAGCAACGCCGCGUGAGUGAUGAAGGUCUUCGGAUUGUAAAGCUCUGUUAAUCGGGACGAAAGAGCCUAGUGUGAAUAAUGCUAGGAAGUGACGGUACCGGAAUAGAAAGCCACGGCUAACUACGUGCCAGCAGCCGCGGUAAUACGUAGGUGGCAAGCGUUGUCCGGAAUUAUUGGGCGUAAAGCGCGCGCAGGCGGAUCUGCCAGUCUGUCUUAAAAGUUCGGGGCUUAACCCCGUGAUGGGAUGGAAACUACAGAUCUAGAGUAUCGGAGAGGAAAGUGGAAUGCCUAGUGUAGCUGUGAAAUGCGUAGAUAUUAGGAAGAACACCAGUGGCGACGGCGACUUUCUGGACGAAAACUGACGCUGAGGCGCGAAAGCCAGGGGAGCGAACGGGAUUAGAUACCCGUGUAGUCC